UUCCCUUCUGUUGAACCAUUUUAUUUAUUUCCAAAAUUUUGCAACCCUAACAAAACAUGCCUGUACUUCUUUUUCCAUAAUUAUGUUUUUAUUUAUUUAGAAACAUUUCUUGGUAAGAGAGUUGGCAGUAAUCCUAAGUUAAAGAUAUGAAUAUUUGAGGGGAUGAGGGAGUUCACUAAUAUAUAUUACAAAACUGGAACAUACACUUAAGAUUAGGAGUAUGAGUAUGAGUAUGAGAUAUGUUCCAAAUAACACGGUUAGUAACUUGGAUGAAAGCAAAAUACAACUCUAAGACAUUAUUGAAAUUUGUUCUGGUGGCUCUCUGAACUUUUGAUUGCUUACUUUCUUGUGCUCACUUAUGUUCUAAAUGCUUGAGAUUCCGGAACAAGUGAUCUUUGGGAAAGAAAGAUUUUAUAAAACACACCAUGCUAUACUUCUGCAUUUUGGCCUCUUUUAAACAACUCAGUAGAAGACUUUUUAAUUUCGAAGAGAAACACAAUUUUUAUCUUUGUUUCCUUCUUUAUUAAUAAUGAGAUUAACUUUUUCUGUUACUGCAAGACUUCUUUAAUAAACUGUUUUUUUCUAAUCACAGCUAGAAUGCAACAAAAAUAUAUUAGAGAAUUAUCUUUGAGAUAUCAUAAUUUAUGUGAAAUUAUUUUGAAAAGUGCUUGUUCAUAUCUUUUGCCCACUUUUUGAUGGGGUUGUUUGUUUGUUUUUUCUUAUAUAUUUGUUUAAGUUUCUUACAGAUGCUGUAAUUAAAUUUACUUAUGAAGUAGAAAAAGCAGUGUAAGUUAUAUCUAGAUUUGUAGACUUUGUUGCUGUUGUUAAUCACCCCUUUUGAUUAAACCUGUUUGAAAAAUCAUUUAUCUCUCAUUUUACAAAGUCUGUUAAUGGAAACCUGGCUCCUUUCUCUCCACUUAUGUUACUUGCCUGUUCUAAUAGGGCACAUAGUGCCGUAGAUGUAGAUGAAAAGGCAUAAUCCUCAACUGCCCUUGUCAUCUCCUACUUCAACUUAUUCCAUCCAUUCAAAUCCUUUAGUCUCUUUCUCAGAGAACAAAAGAUUUUGGAUGUUCAGAUUCAGGCACUUACUGAAUUUUUCUGCAUUGUAAAGGCUGGAGGAGAAAAGGUAUUUUUUUCUCUUGGAAGCUAGGAACAAUUUUGCUCCAACAUCACGUGAAACUGAAAAAGUGGGGCUGGGGGUGGAAGAGAUUGUUGCCCAGUGUGCUUCUUCCCUGGCCCAGACUGUGUUUCUAUACAAGUGGACCUCUGAGGACAUACAUUUACCUAACAUCACUUUCUCCAACUUAGGACAACACUGGGCUUCCUGGAAGCUCAGUUCUCCUUACAGGGCAGGCCCAGACUCCCUAUUUCCAGAGAAAUUUCAGGGAUGUUGCUCAAUUGUCAACAGAAGCAAGGGAAACCCAAGCAUCUUAUACUUUUUGUCUUUAUGAUAAUAGAUUUAGCUAGGAAAGUGAGGAUGGAUAAAUUUUGAAGGCUGGUCAACCUUAUAUUUCAUUGCUUAUCUAAGCAACUUCUUUUGUUUUUAAAUUUAACUUUCAUUUUAAGUUCAGGGAUACAUGUGCAUCUAGUUACUUAAUUGCUGCACACACUCAGCCUUAUCAGCCUUAACCUGAUGCCAUAAUGUAGCUUCAACGUAUCACUCUUAGAUUUAGAUCUUCAUCCAAUUCUUCUUUCCUGAACCCUUAGUUUAUAUCCAUGACUGCUUAGAGAUGUGUAGAUGCUACACGGAAGUCUUAAAUAUCCUUGAGCUCUAUAUUCACACAGCAAACUAUUUGGAUUUGCUUUUUAGCCACGCUCCUCAAACCUGUUCUUUUUUCCUGAAUAUCAAUUUUAAUAAAUUGUGCUACCAUCAACCCAGUCUCCUAUAUUAUUCUAGAUUAUUUUUCUUCACUCUACUUUGUUUCUAAACUAAUUGUUGUUUAUUAAAAUUAUCAGUUCUACCUUUCAGAAGUGCUUAAGUCUAUCUGGACAUUGAUUUGGUUCAAACCUCACCAUUUUAAAGAGCCAGCUUAUAAACUACCCCUGCUCUAAACAGGCUAUCCUAUCCAGCAAGGUCACUCAAUCCUGUGAACAGCCAGUGCCAUUCCAAGGGGAAGGCAUAUUAACUCAGAAAAUGCUGACACACCUGACCUUUCAUCCCUGCCACUCAGCAGUUCUACAGAAGACCAAUUUGUAUGCAAACAAUUCACUUACAAGCCAGAAUUCC
rnacentral:lncRNA from 10 species